rnacentral:rRNA from 1 species
AGAGUUUGAUCCUGGCUCAGGAUGAACGCUAGCUACAGGCUUAACACAUGCAAGUCGAGGGGCAGCAUGGCGUCUAGCAAUAGAUGCUGAUGGCGACCGGCGCACGGGUGAGUAACACGUAUCCAACCUGGCCCAUACUAGGGAAUAGCCUGCCGAAAGGCAGAUUAAUGCCCUAUGUUGUGUAUUGAUGGCAUCAGAUUACACCAAAGAUUCAUCGGUAUGGGAUGGGGAUGCGUCCGAUUAGCUUGACGGCGGGGUAACGGCCCACCGUGGCUACGAUCGGUAGGGGUUCUGAGAGGAAGGUCCCCCACACUGGAACUGAGACACGGUCCAGACUCCUACGGGAGGCAGCAGUGAGGAAUAUUGGUCAAUGGGCGUAAGCCUAAACCAGCCAAGUAGCGUGAGGGAUGACUGCCCUAUGGGUUGUAAACCUCUUUUAUAAGGGAAUAACUGACGAUACGUGUAUUGUUUUGCAUGUACCUUAUGAAUAAUGACCGGCUAAUUCCGUGCCAGCAGCCGCGGUAAUACGGAAGGUCAGGGCGUUAUCCGGAUUUAUUGGGUUUAAAGGGAGCGUAGGCGGUUGGUUAAGCGUGUUGUGAAAUGUCCCGGCCCAACCGGGGAUGUGCAACGCGAACUGGCUGACUUGAGUGCGUACGAGGUAUGCGGAAUUCGUCGUGUAGCGGUGAAAUGCUUAGAUAUGACGAAGAACUCCGAUUGCGAAGGCAGCAUGCCAGGCCGCUACUGACGCUGAAGCUCGAAGGUGCGGGUAUCGAACAGGAUUAGAUACCCUGGUAGUCCGCACGGUAAACGAUGGAUGCCCCGCUGUUUUGCGAUAUACUGUGAGCGGGCCAAGGGAAAGCGUUAAGCAUCCCACCUGGGGAGUACGCCGGCAACGGUGAAACUCAAAGGAAUUGACGGGGGCCCGCACAAGCGGAGGAACAUGUGGUUUAAUUCGAUGAUACGCGAGGAACCUUACCCGGGUUUGAAUUGCAGAGGAGCAAUCCAGAGAUGGUGCGGCCCUUCGGGGCCUCUGUGAAGGUGCUGCAUGGUUGUCGUCAGCUCGUGCCGUGAGGUGUCGGCUUAAGUGCCAUAACGAGCGCAACCCUUGCUUCCAGUUGCCAUCAGGUUAUGCUGGGGACUCUGGAAGGACUGCCAUCGUAAGAUGUGAGGAAGGUGGGGAUGACGUCAAAUCAGCACGGCCCUUACGUCCGGGGCUACACACGUGUUACAAUGGGGGGUACAGCAGGCUGCUACCGGGCGACCGGAUGCCAAUCCCUAAAACCCCUCUCAGUUCGGACUGGAGUCUGCAACCCGACUCCACGAAGCUGGAUUCGCUAGUAAUCGCGCAUCAGCCACGGCGCGGUGAAUACGUUCCCGGGCCUUGUACUCACCGCCCGUCA